AGUGAACGCUGGCGGUAGGCCUAACACAUGCAAGUCGAACGGCAGCACAGUAAGAGCUUGCUCUUACGGGUGGCGAGUGGCGGACGGGUGAGGAAUACAUCGGAAUCUACUUUUUCGUGGGGGAUAACGUAGGGAAACUUACGCUAAUACCGCAUACGACCUACGGGUGAAAGCAGGGGAUCUUCGGACCUUGCGCGAUUGAAUGAGCCGAUGUCGGAUUAGCUAGUUGGCGGGGUAAAGGCCCACCAAGGCGACGAUCCGUAGCUGGUCUGAGAGGAUGAUCAGCCACACUGGAACGGAGACACGGUCCAGACUCCUACGGGAGGCAGCAGUGGGGAAUAUUGGACAAUGGGCGCAAGCCUGAUCCAGCCAUACCGCGUGGGUGAAGAAGGCCUUCGGGUUGUAAAGCCCUUUUGUUGGGAAAGAAAAGCAGCAGGUUAAUACCCCGCUGCUCUGACGGUACCCAAAGAAUAAGCACCGGCUAACUUCGUG
rnacentral:rRNA from 1 species